rnacentral:rRNA from 1 species
AGUGAACGCUGGCGGUAGGCCUAACACAUGCAAGUCGAACGGCAGCACAGUAAGAGCUUGCUCUUACGGGUGGCGAGUGGCGGACGGGUGAGGAAUACAUCGGAAUCUACUUUUUCGUGGGGGAUAACGUAGGGAAACUUACGCUAAUACCGCAUACGACCUACGGGUGAAAGCAGGGGAUCUUCGGACCUUGCGCGAUUGAAUGAGCCGAUGUCGGAUUAGCUAGUUGGCGGGGUAAAGGCCCACCAAGGCGACGAUCCGUAGCUGGUCUGAGAGGAUGAUCAGCCACACUGGAACUGAGACACGGUCCAGACUCCUACGGGAGGCAUCAGUGGGGAAUAUUGGACAAUGGGCGCAAGCCUGAUCCAGCCAUACCGCGUGGGUGAAGAAGGCCUUCGGGUUGUAAAGCCCUUUUGUUGGGAAAGAAAAGCAGCAGGUUAAUACCCCGCUGUUCUGACGGUACCCAAAGAAUAAGCACCGGCUAACUUCGU